CAAUGCAGAGAAUGAACCCUCCCCGAGGCAUGGGGCCCAUGGGUCCCGGCCCACAGACUGACCCUUGGUUAUCGUUGCAGAAUUACGGCAGCGGCAUGAGACCACCACCCAACUCCCUCGGCCCCGCCAUGCCCGGGAUUAACAUGUAAGGCAAAAACGACCCGGCCCGUGGCUCAGAGUCCAGGUCUUCCCCCACCCUCUGCCAGCACCCUGGGAGACUCAUGAUAAGGGGUCAUUGCUGGUACCUCUCUGGACCUCAGUCUCCUCAUCGGUAAUGUGAGGAUAUUGAUGAUCCUGGUGAUGAGAGCUCAGCCUCAUAGAGUGCCUCUGUGUGCCGGGCACGGUUCAGGCAUGCUGCGUGCAUCAGCUCACCUCAUCUUCAUGAUUACCCUAUGACGCGAUGAUUUUUAUUUUUAUUUUUAUUUUUUUUGAGACAGAGUCACAUUCUGUUGUCCAGGCUGGAGUACAGUGGCACAAUCUUGGCUUACUGCAAUCUCCGCCUCCCGGGUUCAAGCGAUUCUCCU
rnacentral:lncRNA from 1 species